ensembl:lncRNA
AGACGGGAUUUCACCAUGUUCGCCGGGAUGGUCUCGAUCUCCUGACCUCGUGAUCCGCCCGUCUCGGCCUCCCAAAGUGCUGGGAUUACAGGCUUGAGCCACCGCGCCCGGCCUCAUUUAAUAAUUCUGGACUUUGGAUGAGAGCAGCAACAUGGAUGAAACUGGAGACAUUGUCCUAAGUGAAAUACUCAGAAACACAAGAUCAAGUACUGCAUGUUCUUAUGGAGUUUCACUCUUAUUGCCCAGGCUGGAGUGCAAUGGCAGGAUCUCGUCUUACUGCAACCUCUGCUUCCUGGAUUCAAGCGAUUCUCCUACAUCAGCCUCCUAAGUAGCUGAGAUUAUAGGCAUGUGCCACCUUGGCACAUAGGAUUUUUCAGUGCUACUCCAAGUAAGUUAUUGAUAAUUUUGUACUUUUUGUAGAGACGGGGUUUCUCCAUGUUGGUCAGGCUGGUCUCGAACUCUCAACCUCAGGUAAUUCUGCCACCUCGGCCUCCCAAAGUGCUGGGAUUACAGGUGUGAACCACCGUGCCCGGCCAUGUUUCUUGUUUCUAAGGCCUAAGAGUUUCUUUCAUUAAAAAUGAUGGAACCGUGAACAGCAACGGUUUCCCUUAAACGGACUAUCUAGAGACCCAAAGAUGCUUGAUAGAGUUUCAAUAGUUACCAAAAUGUAGUCUAAUAACAAUGGUAAUUGAUGCUGUCUACAGAUUCAGGUAUUUCCCCACUGAUUUCAGCAAUUUCUGUGACCUUGUAGUCUUCAUUUAAUUUUUGCUUAGCACUGCCCAUUCACAUGUCACAUUGGAUAUAUACUAGUAUAAAAACAAGAGAAUAAUAAACAUAUAAAUUACUUUCUACCUAUAAUUUUAGAAAUAAUGUGAGGUCUUCAGCCAAGCACAUGAAGCUCAUUAUAUAAAAGUGUGUACUUUUAAUAACUGUGAUUUUAGAAAUAUAGAAUUGAAUUACAUUGCAGCUUGCAAAAUGAGAAAUUUCCAGUGAAACACGGUUGUGUCUAUGCUUAUGUGCAUAUGUAUACACGCACUUGUAAGUAUUAAGAAAGAAUACAUUAGAGGUCUAUCCUUACCAUGACAGUACAUAAGCUUUGUCGGUGUUAUUUCUGAAGUUGGGAGUUUUCAGUGCCACUCCCGAAUGAGUUAUUGAGAAGACACACAAUGAAAACAAUAGAACACAGUUUCUGAAGAGGCCUAUUCUUCACGGCUGGUAUGUUUUGAAUGUUUAUCCUGUUUGGAGGUGGGAAUUGGUGGGAGGUGAUUGCAUCACGGUGGGGGCGGAUCCCUACAAAUGGCUUGGCACCAUCCCUUUGGUGAUGAGUGAGUUCUUGCUCAGUUCAUGCGAGAUCUGAUUGUUUCAACUGUCUGGAACUUCCCCCUUCUCUCUUCUGCUCCUUUUCUUACCAUGUGAUGUGUAGUCUGCUCCUCUUUGCCUUCUGCUGUCAUUGUAAGCUCCCUGAGGCCCUCACCAGAAGCAGAUGCUGGCAUCAUGCUUCCUGUGCAGUCUGCAGAACUGUGAACCAAUUAAACUGCUUUUCCUUGUAAAUUACCCAAUCUGAGAUACUCCUCUGUAGUGAUACAAAAGCAGCCUAAUCCAAGGGUCUGUUCCAGGGGUGAAAAAUUUGAUGGAAUAGAAAAUGAAAACACAGAGCUCAUUUGUAAAAUGUUGCACCACGUCUCAGACACUAGCGAUGAUGGAUAAUUUUGUGAGUCAACUUGACUGGGCUAAGAAAGUUUCCCAAAUAAAGUCAGGCUCCACUCAAAGCGUAAGAUAAUAUGCACAAUUCAGAGGAGACUAGUAUACAAUUUUAAGUUCAUGGUUAAAGCCAUGGGCAGAAAACAAGAAACAACAUGUUGAUCAGGAUGCUAAGGUAAGCAGCAUACUAGUAGUCAAAUCGAACACAGUGUAUUGGUCCACAGCCUGGUUUUAAAACCCAAGACUCUGAAUAUCUAUCUUCAGUAGCUCACAGAGUUCUCUGACUUGUACAAUUGGACAUCCCUAUGACUACUAAAUUUUGCCUCUAUGCUAUUUUGUUAUUUAUGUCAGAAU